rnacentral:lncRNA from 1 species
CGUUACUUUGGACAUAAAAUGAGAACGUACUCUGCUGUGUUGCAGAGUGUUUGGUAUUACCUGCACGAAUUGGUGCAGAGGGAAUCUGAGGUUUUGUUAAAGCUUGAAGAACUAAAAUAAAAGCCUCGCUUUAUACUGUGCAGUUGGCACUAUAUAAGUUACAAAGAGAAAGAAGAAAAAAAAAGAAAAAAAAAAAAGGAAGAGUGGGGGC